UACGUAGGGUGCGAGCGUUGUCCGGAAUUACUGGGCGUAAAGAGCUCGUAGGCGGCUUGUCGCGUUGUUCGUGAAAAUUUACCGCUCAACGGUGAACUUGCGGGCGAUACGGGCAGGCUAGAGUACUGCAGGGGAGACUGGAAUUCCUGGUGUAGCGGUGAAAUGCGCAGAUAUCAGGAAGAACACCGGUGGCGAAGGCGGGUCUCUGGGCCGAUACUGACGCUGAGGAGCGAAAGCGUGGGGAGCGAACAGG
rnacentral:rRNA from 1 species